GACAAACCGAAGGCUGGAACUGGGAAGGAAACCGAGACCCAGGCUGAAGUUCUCCUUAGAUCCCAGGACACAGAAGACAUUCAAACGGAGCCAAAGAAAUACCCAGUUCAAAAGCCACAAGGAGAAUAGAGGCAUCUUUAUUGUCCUGGGUCACCGUGGAGAUUCUUUUACCCAGUAAAUGUGGCUCCGGAAGAAACAGGUGAAAUGCCCCACCUCCCAGAUUCAGCUCUUGCUACAUAAUACGUUUUGGCUCAUGACCUACCAGCCAGCAGUGAAUUCCACAUGGGCAU